GCCGAUGUGGUGAAAUUGGUAUACACGUACGCUUCAGGAGCGUAUGCCGCAAGGCGUGGGAGUUCGACUCUCCCCAUCGGCA
rfam:Microgenomates (Gottesmanbacteria) bacterium GW2011_GWA1_48_13 TY27_C0014, whole genome shotgun sequence.